AUGAGCUCCUGGCUCCUCUGCUGUGUAGCUCUGUGCCUCCUGGGGGUGGGGCCCUUGGACACAGCCAUUUCACAGAGUCCCAAAUACCUCAUCACAUGGAUGGGAAAUAAGGAGUCCCUUAAAUGUGAACAAAAUCUGGGUCAUGAUGCUAUGUACUGGUAUAAGCAGGACUCCAAACGAUUACUGGAGAUUAUGUUUACCUACAAUAAUAAGGAACUCAUUUUAAAUGAAACAGUUCCAAGUCGCUUCUCACCUGAAGCUCCAGACAAAGCUCAUUUAAAUCUUCACAUCAAUUCCCCAGAGCCAGAUGAUUCUGCCGUGUAUCUCUGCGCCAGCAGCCAAGACACAGCCCUGCAGAGUCACCACGUCCCUGUGCACAAACCUCCUGGCCCAGCCAGGAAGCUGUGGGGGCAACAUGUUCACCUGUGCCCCAAGGCUCUGCUCUCCAUUCUCUGUGGGGCCCCUGAUGGAGUUGAAGUCUGUAGCACAGCCUGCCAGUACACCCGGUGGGGCAGCUAUGCUUUCCUCUUCUCCAUAUUCUCCUUGCUUUUCAAACCCAUCGCAGCUGCCCCUGGUUCUGUGGAAUGUGGGACAGGUCUGGACGGCUAA